GACCUGUGAUGAAAAGAUUCUGCCAAAUGAUUUGUGUUGAUUAUAACCCAUACCGUUCCAUUUUAUUCUGAUGGUU
ensembl:snoRNA small nucleolar RNA SNORD47